AUACUAUUAUAAAUUACAUAAAAAAUUUUGAUCCGUAAUUAUAUACAUUUUGCACACAUUCUUUACACAUGCGCAUAAAAUUGAGCAAAGCACUGAUGAAUUGCUUUAUGCAUAUCACUUAAACUAGUGUUAUUCUUUGAAUUUAGAAAUAGAAGUUGUUAAAUGUUGGCUCAACAUGCAGUACAAUUGAGACGGACAUGUUUUCUGAGAUUAGAGCACCACAAGUAUCAUUGAUCUGCCAAAAAAUUGACCUGUUGUGUUUCCACGUCUAUGAUAUCAUAUCAUCACGCUAACAAGCCCCAACGAGCAAUAUGCGUCCGUGGUUGUGAUAUGUACUGACUUAUAAUAAUUAGAAAAAGAUACUCUGUAUUACUAUAUAUACCGAAUUCCUGUACUAGUAGUUACUAAU